AAUUUUAUAGUAUAAUAAAUAUAUUAAUUUGCAAAAUUAAUGAUACCUUUAGGUUAAAAUUU
rnacentral:tRNA from 2 species